CAAAAGGUUGAGGCCCACUGCCUUAGACCCUCACCAAACUGUACAGAACCAUGCGCUUCCGUGGGCAAAACCCACUUCCUCAGAUGAAGCGGAGCGGCAGUAACAGAAACCAGGAGAUCUAGAUAAUGGCAGAAGACCUUCCUGUCUAUUGUAGGACCUGUGUAAACGAGGCUACUUAGGCGGGCUGGGUGUGUCCCAUUCAUAGCUUCGGACGUGGAAAUGCGGAUAUUAACGGCAGGGGAAAUUGGCUUUGUAGUGCACCAGGGCUGACUUUAAGCCCAGGGUAACGGUGUAGCUAAAUUCCAGUUCUGCAGCCUCGCUCUGUGAUUGGUCAGGGAAAUUCCUUGGUGCGUUUCGAUCCACGCCGCUACAGGUUGGCGUGUUACCGUUGUGGACCUGGCUACGGGGGAGCCGUGCGGUUCUCAGCUUUGUGUGUCCUUGCAGGAAGGGAAGACUUACGAGCAACUGAAGGAGGAGCUGGGAGACGCGUGUGCCGUUGUCAGGAUCACAGGCGAUCUGAAGGGGACGGCGCUCACUCCAAGCCCCGGGGCCCAGAGCGGCGCCGCCGCGCAGACCUACCCUCUGGACGUGCUAACGAGCCAGAAGGAUGAACUGCCGGGAGACGUAGACCCCGCCAAGAAAGAGAAUUACCUCUCCCCGCGGGACUUUGUGGCCGUGUUUGGAAUCGAGAGGGAAGAAUUUGCUGCUCUUCCUGGCUGGAAACAGAUCAACCUGAAGAAAGAAAAAGGGCUCUUCUAAUGAAGCGGAUGGUGUGCCCAGCCCGGAGGCGGAGACUGGACCAAGCCCCACUUCCUCAGUGUGGUACAGCCAGAAGCAAGAGGCCACGAGGGGUUGGGCGGAUUUUUAUUCUCGCAAGUAUAUUCAAACAGCUGAUAUUUUAGCUUUAGGCACACGGCGCUGGCCACUUCCUAGGGCUGUUGGGACACGGGUGGCACUGCAGCUUCCCCCGGCUAGCCCAGUGCAGGAGGCUGGACACCAAAAUACACUUGAACCUCUUUAAUCUGGCAACCCUGGGUUUGCCGGAUUAAAGAGGUUGCUGGGCCAGGAAGGGCAUGCGGGGGGGCAGGUAUCCCCCGCUGCUUCCUGGCACCACCCCCCUGCCAUGGGAGCCGUGGGGAAAGCCUCUGGCAGAGUGCGUUGCUGCACGGCCGUUCCCCCAGCUGGCGGGCAGCACCGCACCACGGGUGUUCCCGAAUGAGGGACGCGUGGCGGUUACAGUGUA